rnacentral:rRNA from 1 species
UACGUAGGGGGCAAGCGUUAUCCGGAAUCAUUGGGCGUAAAGCGCGUGUAGGCGGUUCCGUAAGUCCGCUCUGAAAGCCCAGGGCUCAACCCUGGGAGGCGGGUGGAUACUACGGAACUGGAGUACGGAAGAGGAGAUUGGAAUUCCUGGUGUAGCGGUGAAAUGCGCAGAUAUCAGGAGGAACACCAACAGCGAAGGCAGGUCACUGGGCCGCAACUGACGCUGAGGAGCGAAAGCAUGGGGAGCGAACAGG